rfam:Exiguobacterium sp. AT1b, complete genome.
AGCGACCACUAGGGGAGCCUUCGGGCUGAGACGGCAUUUGCCGGACCCUUUGAACCUGAUCUGGCUCAUACCAGCGUAGGGAAGUGGCUUGGGAUACGU